UUCGGCUGCAGGUCGGACCGGUGCACACGACCACGGUCGAUCCCUCCUCCAGGGCAAACAACAGCGGGCUCCUGCUACCGGUACCGGUGCUGCUGCUGCU
rnacentral:ribozyme from 1 species